rnacentral:lncRNA from 1 species
UGCUUUUUUGGCUUUCCUUUGUUGGCAUAACACUCAUACGAAUAGUGUUCGAGUUUGUGGCAAUUGUAACACUCUAUGUUCUUCUUAUCUUUCUUCUUUUGAUACUUCUCCAGACUACCUUUAUUCUUCACUGCAUCCGAUUCAUCAUUUGAUCUGUUGGGCUUCCAAUUCCCCUUCUUUCCUUUCCAUUUCUUCUAUUUUUUCUUUGCAUCACUCUUGCCAUGAUGAACCUUCAAGGCUUGUUCAUCAAUCUUGAUAGGAUUUCUAUCAAACAUCCUCAUCUCAUGCGCUUCUAGGGAGCUUUGCAAUUCUUCUAUUUUCAUUUUUUUUAGCUCUCUUGACUCUUCUAUGGCCACGACUAUGUAAUCAAAUUUCUGAGGUAAAGACCUCAUGAUCUUUUCAAUGAUCAUUAGAUCCGUGAUGACUUCUCCACAUCCCUUCAUUUGAUUGGUGAUGGCAAGCACUUUAUCAAAAUACUCUUUGACUUUAUCACCCUCCAACAUCUGCAUCAAUUCAUACUAUCUCCUUAACCUCUACAACUUGACCUUCUUGAUUUUCUCCCCUCCAGUAUGACAUCUAACAAGAAUACUCCAAGCCUCCCUCG